CCUACGGGAGGCUGCAGUGAGGAAUAUUGGUCAAUGGACGAGAGUCUGAACCAGCCAAGUAGCGUGAAGGAUGACUGCCCUAUGGGUUGUAAACUUCUUUUAUAUGGGAAUAAAACGUUCCACGUGUGGGAUUUUGUAUGUACCAUAUGAAUAAGGAUCGGCUAACUCCGUGCCAGCAGCCGCGGUAAUACGGAGGAUCCGAGCGUUAUCCGGAUUUAUUGGGUGUAAAGGGAGCGUAGGUGGAUUGUUAAGUCAGUUGUGAAAGUUUGCGGCUCAACCGUAAAAUUGCCGUUGAAACUGGCAGUCUUGAGUACAGUAGAGGUGGGCGGAAUUCGUGGUGUAGCGGUGAAAUGCUUAGAUAUCACGAAGAACUCCGAUUGCGAAGGCAGUUCACUGGACUGCAACUGACACUGAGGCUCGAAAGUGUGGGUAUCAAACAGGAUUAGAUACCCGAGUAGUC
rnacentral:rRNA from 1 species